rnacentral:rRNA from 1 species
UACGGGGGGGGCAAGCGUUGUUCGGAAUUACUGGGCGUAAAGGGUUCGUAGGUGGCCUGCUAAGUCAGACGUGAAAUCCCUCGGCUCAACCGGGGAACUGCGUCUGAGACUGGCGGGCUCGAGGACAGGAGAGGAACGCGGAAUUCCAGGUGUAGCGGUGAAAUGCGUAGAUAUCUGGAGGAACACCGGUGGCGAAGGCGGCGUUCUGGACUGUUUCUGACACUGAGGAACGAAAGCCAGGGGAGCAAACGGG